GGGGGGACCAUCCUCCAAGGCUAAAUACUCCUGACUGACCGAUAGUGAACCAGUACCGUGAGGGAAAGGCGAAAAGAACCCCGGCGAGGGGAGUGAAACAGAACCUGAAACCGUGUACGUACAAGCAGUGGGAGCCUUCGUAAGAGGGUGACUGCGUACCUUUUGUAUAAUGGGUCAGCGACUUAUAUUCUGUAGCAAGGUUAACCGUAUAGGGGAGCCGAAGGGAAACCGAGUCUUAACCGGGCGUUAAGUUGCAGGGUAUAGACCCGAAACCCGGUGAUCUAGCCAUGGGCAGGUUGAAGGUUGGGUAACACUAACUGGAGGACCGAACCGACUAAUGUUGAAAAAUUAGCGGAUGACCUGUGGCUGGGGGUGAAAGGCCAAUCAAACCGGGAGAUAGCUGGUUCUCCCCGAAAGCUAUUUAGGUAGCGCCUCGUGAACUCAUCUCCGGGGGUAGAGCACUGUUUCGGCUAGGGG
rnacentral:rRNA from 1 species